GAUGAACGCUGGCGGCGUGCCUAACACAUGCAAGUCGAACGAACUCUAAAUUUAGCCUUUUUGGCUAUCCGCAAAAUGAGAGCAAAGAUAUAAUUUUCAGAUGUAUACAUUUACAGAUGAAAAAUUCAUAUCUUUGCUAGGCAUUUUGCUUCUAGAGUUAGUGGCGGACGGGUGAGUAACACGUUAGUACCUGCCCUUUAGUGGGGAAUAACCCGGCGAAAGUCGGGCUAAACCGCAUGUGAUCCUUCGGGAUUAAAGCCUUCGGGCGGCUAAAGGAGGGGCGUUGCGUCUGAUUAGCUAGUUGGUGGGGUAAGUGCCCACCAAGGCGACGAUCAGUAGCUGGUUCGAGAGAUGACCAGCCACACGUGGACUGAGAUACGGCCACGACUCCUAC
rnacentral:rRNA from 1 species